rnacentral:lncRNA from 1 species
CAACAAUUCCCGUCUCUCUUCUCCCAUGCAAUUGACGCAAAGGCAUCUGUAAAAGAAGUUCUCAAUCAGGAGAUUACAUCAAGUUUUGUGCCUCGUCUAUCGUCGGCAGCGACAAUUGAACUGGAUGAGCUACAGCUCCUGCUGCAAAGCUUUACACUCAAUGACGAGCAAGACAUCUUCAGGGGGCAGGCCCCCUCGCUCAUCUCCUGCUUGCGCCGCUGUAUUAGCGAAGCAACUCUCUGGGCAGAGAUCAUAAAAAAUGAGGAAAGAUAUGUAAUAUCUAGUUGGAAAGAAAUUUUCUCUGCCCCCUUCAAACUCUGA